rnacentral:rRNA from 1 species
UACGGAGGGUGCAAACGUUGUUCGGAAUCAUUGGGCGUAAAGCGCACGUAGGCGGCUCGUUAAGUCGGAUGUGAAAGCCCUGGGCUCAACCCAGGAAGUGCAUACGAAACUGGCGAGCUUGAGUAUGGAAGAGGGUCGCGGAAUUCCCGGUGUAGAGGUGAAAUUCGUAGAUAUCGGGAGGAACACCAGUGGCGAAGGCGGCGACCUGGGCCAAUACUGACGCUGAGGUGCGAAAGCGUGGGGAGCAAACAGG